rnacentral:lncRNA from 1 species
AAAAGAAAUAACUAGUAAUGGUUCCUUAAUAAUACAUUUAUUCAAAACUGUCUAGACUCUUUUUAAAGUCUCUGUCUAGACCAUCGCUGGAAAGUGAUGGUGGAAGGUAGUGGAAGGAGUGUUCAAGGAGGAGUUCAGAGGCAUUAUAAGCAGCAGCACAGGUAACCAAUGCAGAACGUGAGACCCUGGUUUCUCAGCUGGCUCCUUGACUGACCAAUUACUUUCUGAUUUUGAGCCAGUGGUGCUGGGUUGAGAGGAUUGAGAAAUAAAGCUGAAGAUAAAAGCAAAGCAAAGAGCCCAGGCUUCUUUGCUGACUUGGGCAGUUGCAGUGGGAAUAUCCAUGAAUUUGGUCAAAAGACAACUAGCUCCACGAUAUUCACCUCUUUGAUCUUCACUCACUUCAUUGAUAAAAUUACAAGUCACUUAUCCAGUUUCACUAAACCAAAUUUCUGCUAAUACAAAUACCAAUUUGUAUUGGUAUUUCCCAAAGAAUGGCACUUUGUAUUCUUCUCACUUGUACAGAAUCAGCUCAUUCUUCAUUAACAUUUCAGCAUAGUUCUGGCAUUUAAUAAACAUGAGUGGUUGUUUUCUUG